UNCCCAUGGAAGCCUAGCCAGAGUUCUGGAUU
rnacentral:piRNA from 1 species